GCUAAUAUAUAUACACGAGUGUUUCCAAAUUAUGAUACAUGAAAUACAUAAUUUCAGAAACAAUGGGGUCUUCAACCUUGAAGAGAGUUUUUUCGCUUGUUUUCCUGCUCUUGUUUGUUGUUAUUUCACAAUCUUCUCCUGAUGUUGCUUCUAAUUCUACUCAAGAAGCUCUAGCUCUUCUCAAAUGGAAAGCCACCCUUCAAAACCACAGCCAUUCUCGUCUGUCAUCCUGGACUCUUUCUUCUGUCAAUGCCACAAAUACCUCUAUCCACCACAAAACAAAAACAAGUCCAUGUACUUGGUUUGGAAUCUCUUGCGAUCGUGCUGGAAGUAUCACAAGUAUCAACUUGACCAACACAAAUCUAAAAGGCACACUUUAUGAACUAUCUUUCUCGUUGUUUCCUAAUCUUGCACGUUUUGAUCUAAGCGUGAAUGAACUUUUUGGUGUCAUCCCUCCUCAAAUCAAUCAUUUAACAAAUGUAGAGGUCUUUUAUCUCUAUUCAAAUAAGUUGUCUGGUUCUAUUCCUAAUGGCAUAGGAAACAUGAGCUCCCUAAUAGAUUUAGAGUUGAGCACAAAUCAAUUGAGUGGCUCUAUUCCUCGCUCCAUUGGCAAUUUGAGCAAAUUAAAAGUUUUAUACCUCUACACCAACAACCUUUCUGGUGUUAUUCCUGAAGAGAUAGGCAACUUGAAGUUCAUUUCUGAUCUAGCGUUGAGCACAAAUCAAUUGAGUGGCUCUAUUCCUCGCUCCAUUGGCAAUUUGAGCAAUUUAAAAGUUUUAUACCUACACACCAACAACCUUUCUGGUGUUAUUCCUGAAGAGAUAGGCAACUUGAAGCUAAUUUCUGAUCUAGAGUUGAGCACAAAUCAAUUGAGUGGCUCUAUUCCUCGCUCCAUUGGCAAUUUGAGCAAUUUAAAAGUUUUAUACCUAUACACCAACAACCUUUCUGGUGUUAUUCCUGAAGAGAUAGGCAACUUGAAGUUCAUUUCUGAUCUAGAGUUGAGCACAAAUCAAUUGAGUGGCUCUAUUCCUCGCUCCAUUGGCAAUUUGAGUAAUUUAAAAGUUUUAUACCUAUACACCAACAACCUUUCUGGUGUUAUUCUUGAAGAGAUAGGCAACUUGAAGUUCAUUUCUGAUCUAGCGUUGAGCACAAAUCAAUUGAGUGGCUCUAUUCCUCGCUCCAUUGGCAAUUUGAGCAAUUUAGAAACUUUAUACCUCUACACCAACAACCUUUCUGGUGUUAUUCCUGAAGAGAUAGGCAACUUGAAGUUGAUUUAUAAUCUAGCGUUGAGCACAAAUCAAUUGAGUGGCUCUAUUCCUCGCUCCAUUGGCAAUUUGAGCAAUAUCAAAUAUUUGUAUCUUAACAACAACAACCUUUUUGGAAGCAUUCCUUAUGAAGUCGGAAAUUUCUUGAAGUUGAUUGAACUGGAGUUGUUUUAUAAUCACUUCACUGGUUCUCUUCCCCGUAAUAUUUGUCGAAGUGGAUCACUUACCCACUUUGUCAUUAGUGAAAACAAUUUGUCUGGUCGAAUCCCCAAAGAUCUAAGAAAUUGUACUAGUUUAAUUAGAGUCCGCCUCCAAAAUAACCAAUUUAUUGGAAAUAUUUCUGAAGAUUUUGGCAUCUAUCCAAAUCUAAAUUUCAUAGAUCUUAGUCACAACAAAUUUUAUGGUGAAAUUUCAUCUACUUGGGGAAAAUGCUCUCAGUUAGGUACUUUAAAUGUCUCUGGAAACAAUAUUACUGGGAGCAUCGUGUCAAAGAUUCAAAAUUUGACCAAACUACAUAAACUUGACUUUUCUUCAAAUUAUUUAAUUGGAGAGAUUCCAUUGGAACUUGGAAAACUGACUUCUCUUAACAAGCUUGUUUUAACUAGGAAUCAACUUUCUGGAGGUAUACCUCGUGAAGUUGGAUUGCUCACAGAACUUGAGUACCUUGACCUGUCUAGAAAUAGAUUAUGCAAGUCAAUCCCGGGAGAAUUGGGGUUCCUGCCAAAAUUGUUCUACUUGAAUUUGAGAAACAAUCAGCUUAGUCUCGAAAUUCCAUUUGAAUUGGGUAAUUUGAUUCACCUCUCUGAACUAGAUUUGAGUCAUAAUUUACUCAAAGGAGAGAUACCAUCUCAGAUUUGUAAUAUGGAGAGUUUGGAAUAUUUAAAUCUUUCCUAUAACAACCUGUCUGGUUUCAUCCCAAGUUGUUUUGAAGAAAUGCAUGGAUUGUCACGUAUUGACAUAUCUAAUAACAAGUUACAAGGUCCAAUUCCCAACAACAAAGCAUUUUUGGAUGCUCCAUUUGAAGCAUUACAAGGGAAUAAAGGAUUGUGUGGCAAUGCUGGUGGAUUGACACCUUGCAGCAAUCUCACUUCACGCGAACACUUUGCACAAAAGAGGUUGGUAAUUUCCUUUGCCACUUUAGGAGCACUUGCUCUUUUAAUUGUUGCGACAAUAAUGUUCUUUUGUUUUUGGAGAAAAAAACAAGAGUUACCAAACGAACAUAGAAUUGUUAACAAGGAAAAUUUUCUUUCAAUAUUAAAUUUUGAGGGAAAAACAAUGUUUAAAGAUAUUGCAAGUGCAACAGAGAAUUUUGAUGCCAAGUAUUGCAUCGGGAGUGGUGGGUUUGGAAGUGUUUAUAGAGCACAACUUUUAUCAGGCACUAUUUUUGCAGUAAAGAGAUAUCAUUCGCUUCAUCUUGAUGAGAUAGAUGACCAAAAAGAUUUUCUGAAUGAAAUAAGGGCAUUAGUAGAGUUACGCCAUCGAAAUAUCGUGAAAUUUUUUGGCUUUUGUGUACAUUCUCAACACUCUUUUUUAGUGUAUGAGUAUCUUGAAAGAGGUAGCUUGACCACACUUUUGAGUACAGAAGCUACAGCAAGAGAAUUGGAUUGGGGUAAGAGAGUAAAUAUUUUAAAAGGUGUGGCUAAUGGUUUGUCCUACAUGCACCACGGUUGCUCCCCACCAAUAGUGCAUCGAGACAUAUCAAGCAAAAAUGUGUUGUUGGAUUUAGAAUAUGAAGCUCAUGUUUCAGACUUUGGAAUUGCUAAAUUUCUCAAGUUAGACUCAUCCAAUUGGACAACUCUUGCAGGCACAUAUGGAUAUAUUGCACCUGAAUUGGCUUAUACGAUGAAGGUUACUGAGAAAUGCGAUGUAUAUAGUUUUGGAGUGUUAGCAUUAGAAGUGAUCAAGGGAAAACAUCCAGGCGAUCUCAUUCCUUCUCUGUCCUCUCAUUUCACUUGGGAGAACAUGUUGAUGAACAAUGUUUUGGACCAACGCCUUCCACUUCCUCCGCCGGCUAUUCAAGAUCAACUGAUGGCAAUCGUAAAGCUAGCAAUUGGUUGCUUGGAUUCCAAUCCAAAACAUAGGCCAUCCAUGGAUGUGGUUUCUCGUAUGUUUUGAACCACGAUAUAUCAUUUAUUGCUAGUAAGUAGAAUGUCUUCUACAAUAGAAUAAAAUAAUUUGUGUUAUUUUCAUUUUGGUUCGUUGUAUGCAUUAGUUUAGUUUUUCCUUGUAAUUUUUAUGUAAUAGUCGAGGUUGUAUCAAGAAUAAAAGUUUCAAGACUAAGAUGUGCAUGUUUAAAUUAUUAUCUAAGUUAACUAUGGCAGAAGGAUUAUUAUGCCUGCAAUGAUAAAUGUUUUGUUUCCAAGUAUGGACCUCAGUUUUAACAAGCUAACUGGGGAACUUCCUAGUGUUGCAAUCCCUGGGUAUUUGAAAUUUAUGGAUCUUUCCUACAAUAAUUUCACUCAGCCAACCUGAGCAUCGUGCUUGUUAGAGCAUGCAGUUAGUAUAUUUCUAUAUUAGGAGUGAUUCAAUAAUCCACUCUGUUUACUUCUCUGUGUAACAAUCAAAUAUGGUGGAUCCCAGUGCUGAUAUGUGCUUUAUAAUUUGUUAUGUUACCGGGGAAUUCAAUCUGAACUUGUUUCGAAGUUGUCUUUACUAUCGAACAACUUGUAAUUUGAUAUACUCUUGACCUCAAGUGUUUUCUCAUUAAUGCUAACUGGUUUUUUCUCGACUUAAACUAGAAGUGGAGUUCUUCCAAGCAAGACUGAUAAAAAAUGUCAUCGUUGUAAGUAUGUCUAGGAAAUCCAUUAUAUAUAAAUAAAUUCAUUGACACA